CUCAGGGGCCGGGUGGGGCCCAGAGCGCGGAGCCGACAUCUCUAACCCGCUGAGCUUUGGCUGUUCCACCGACUGCAGGCCGGCCACCCCGCUGCGGAGACAGCGGGCCAUGGCGCGGGUGUUGAUCGUGGGCGCCGGGCUGACGGGAAGCCUGUGCGCAGCGCUGCUGAGGAAGGCGGCGGCCCGUCCUUUGCACCUCGCUGUGUGGGACAAGGCUGCGGACUCAGGGGGAAGAAUGACCACAGCCAGCAGUCCUCAUAAUCCACAGAGCACAGUGGACUUGGGUGCCCAGUACAUCACCUGCACUCCUGAUUAUGCCAAAAAACACCAGAGUUUUUAUGAUGAACUGUUAGCUCCUGGUGUUCUGAAGCCUCUGACCUCUCCUAUUGAAGGAAUGGUGACAAAAGAAGGAGACUGUAACUUUGUGGCACCUCACGGAGUUUCUUCAAUUAUCAACCAUUACUUGAAAGAAUCAGGUGCUGAUAUCUACUUCAGACAAUGUGUGACCCAGAUCAACCUGAGAGAUGACAAGUGGGAAGUCCUCAGGGAAACAGGCUCCCCUGAGCAGUUUGAUAUUGUUGUCCUCACGAUGCCAGCUCCUCAGAUUCUGCAGCUUCAAGGUGACAUCGUCAACUUAAUUAGUGAAUGCCAAAGGCAGCAACUGGAGUCUGUGAGCUACUCCUCUCGCUACGCGCUGGGCCUCUUUUAUGAAGCUGGCACGAAGAUUGAUGUCCCUUGGGCUGGGCAGUACAUCACCAGUAAUCCCUGCAUUCGCUUCAUCUCCAUUGAUAAUAAGAAACGCAAUAUAGAGUCAUCGGAAAUCGGGCCUUCCCUUGUGAUUCACACCACUGUCCCAUUUGGAGUUACAUACUUGGGGCACAGCACUGAAGAUGUACAGGAGUUAAUCUUCCAGCAGCUGGAAAAUAUUUUGCCUGGUUUGCCUCAGCCAGUUGCUACCAAGUGCCAGAAAUGGAGACAUUCACAGCUUCCAGAGGCUGCCUGCAUUCCUUGCCUUGGGGCCUCUUCAUCCGCAAAGCCAGCGAGGGCAGCUGGAACCUUCUCACUUCGCAUCACUCUGACAGUGACAGUCCUGCCUCCCUCUCCCACAUGCAAAGGACCCUUGUAAUUACAUCGGGCCCACCCGGUUCUCAGGCCUUUGGACGUGGACUGAAUUGUUCUGCCAGCUUUUCUGGGUCUCCAGCUUGCAGAUGGCAGAUCGUGGGACUUUCUGGCUUCCCUAAUGACGUUUUGACUCUGAUGUACAGCAGGGAAGCUGCUUCGCACUGCAGACCUGAAGUCCUGGAAUAUCCAUGAUGUCACCUUUUUCUACUGAUCUGCUACCUCUGCACAGAGGCGUGCUAUUAGCUCUGUGAUGUUUUAGCUUAAUUCUCCCAUAUGUGGGUUGCAAUUGCAGCCAAAACAAAGUCGGCAGGGGAUUUUACAGCCACUGAAUUGCUCAAGGUGCUGCUGGCUCAGUGAGAUCAGGUCAGGAUGCAUGCAUUAUGAGCGAAAAGACAAAGAGAAAGAAAAGGCACCAGGACGGUGGGAUUUCCGGUUGCGUGGUGUGUGAUUUCCAAAUCAAGCCUUUGGUCUUCCAGUCAAUGAUUCGAUGCUCUGGGUUUUCACCUUUGAGAUUUUCAGUGCUUCUCUGGCAGAUGUGAUGGGAGAAAGCACCCUGUUCUGAGUGGUGAACUGUGGAUGGAAUCUCUCUCACUGAAUUAGAAAGGAGACAUUUUAGGAUAUGAGCUCAUGAAAGAGAAGAGUUUUGAAAUGGAAA